rnacentral:rRNA from 1 species
UACAGGGGGUGCAAACGUUGCUCGGAAUCAUUGGGCGUAAAGCGCACGUAGGCGGUUCGUUAUGUCGGAUGUGAAAGCCCUUGGCUUAACCGAGGAAGUGCAUCCGAAACUGGCGAGCUAGAGUACUAAAGAGGAUCGCGGAAUUCCCGGUGUAGAGGUGAAAUUCGUAGAUAUCGGGAGGAACACCAGUGGCGAAGGCGGCUCACUGGCUCGGUACUGACGCUGAGGCGCGAAAGCGUGGGGGAGCAAACAGG